rnacentral:rRNA from 1 species
GAUGAACGCUGGCGGCGUGCCUAAUACAUGCAAGUCGAGCGAACGGACGAGAAGCUUGCUUCUCUGAUGUUAGCGGCGGACGGGUGAGUAACACGUGGAUAACCUACCUAUAAGACUGGGAUAACUUCGGGAAACCGGAGCUAAUACCGGAUAAUAUUUUGAACCGCAUGGUUCAAAAGUGAAAGACGGUCUUGCUGCCACUUAUAGAUGGAUCCGCGCUGCAUUAGCUAGUUGGUAAGGUAACGGCUUACCAAGGCAACGAUGCAUAGCCGACCUGAGAGGGUGAUCGGCCACACUGGAACUGAGACACGGUCCAGACUCCUACGGGAGGCAGCAGUAGGGAAUCUUCCGCAAUGGGCGAAAGCCUGACGGAGCAACGCCGAGUGAGUGAUGAAGGUCUUCGGAUCGUAAAACUCUGUUAUUAGGGAAGAACAUAUGUGUAAGUAACUGUGCACAUCUUGACGGUACCUAAUCAGAAAGCCACGGCUAACUACGUG